AUGAACGCUGGCGGCGUGCCUAAUACCUGCAAGUCGCGCGAACAGAUAAGGAGCUUGCUCCUUUGACGUUAGCGGCGGACGGGUGAGUAACACGUGGGUAACCUACCUAUAAGACUGGAAUAACUCCGGGAAACCGGGGCUAAUGCCGGAUAACAUUUAGAACCGCAUGGUUCUAAAGUGAAAGAUGGUUUUGCUAUCACUUAUAGAUGGACCCGCGCCGUAUUAGCUAGUUGGUAAGGUAACGGCUUACCAAGGCAACGAUACGUAGCCGACCUGAGAGGGUGAUCGGCCACACUGGAACUGAGACACGGUCCAGACUCCUACGGGAGGCAGCAGUAGGGAAUCUUCCGCAAUGGGCGAAAGCCUGACGGAGCAACGCCGCGUGAGUGAUGAAGGUCUUCGGAUCGUAAAACUCUGUUAUUAGGGAAGAACAAAUGUGUAAGUAACUGUGCACGUCUUGACGGUACCUAAUCAGAAAGCCACGGCUAACUACGUG
rnacentral:rRNA from 1 species